rnacentral:lncRNA from 1 species
AUGGGUCUCAGGUUCUCUUUCCCAGCAGGGGGGGUUGACCUCAGGGGUUUUCUCUGCAGGCUUUGUUCACAUCAAAGCUUUAGUCAAAUCAUCGAUUUCUUGUCUUCUCAACUACUUUUGUGCGUCUCUUUAUGUCUUCUUUUACCUGACAACCAGGAUGAGCCCUCAGUGGGGAUUCAUGACAUUCAGGACUGGAGGAGGCUGAACCCUGAGCCCUCCUCCCCUGAGUCGAUCAUCAAAGAGGACGCUGCCCUGCAAGAUGGACCCGCCUUCACUCAGCGCGUGUCAGCGUGUGUUGGUCAGCAGCAGGAAAGCAAAGCCACCGACCACGUUCAUCAAAUGCUUAUCAGAGCGAUGAGAACAGAAGUCUUUACAGGACGGAGCCUGCCUGCAGCUCAGGUGAUGUUCCAAUGUUUGAGUUUGUGUCUCAGCUGCAGCGUUGUUGACUGGUUUUGGAUGUACGUGUGGCCCAGGGCUCCUAUAAGCAGGAGUGGGCGUGGUUUGAGAAAAUAAUAAAGACUAGAGCAGGAAUCCUCUGGUCCAACAAGUGAUUACUUUUUAGGGGUUUUACAGAUUAAAAUGUUUUUUAAAGUAAUUACAAAAUUAUUGUUGGAUCUUGCUAUGCAGUCUUAUAUUUAAUCAUUCUUCUAACAGCUGCCAAACCAUGAAACACUUUUAGGAUAAACAUUCAGUGUUUUUCAGGCUCCUCCCACUGGCAUCCUAACUCCAGAACUCAUAUGACCUUUAACCACUGUCAGGACAUCCUGGAUCUCUUUACCCUCUCAUUUCUUUCUUUCCCUCUCUCUGUACAGCUUCAGAACCAGUACCAGUGUCUCUGUGAGGUUCUGCUCAGCAUGGCCACGCAGAGGAGUCCAACUCGAGCCUUCAGGGCAGGAACUUUACCAGGACUCUAGUGUCCAGCUUCCACCGAAAAGAGAAGAUCUGACUACCCAAGUCUGGCGUCCCACUGGUCCAAGUCUGUCUGGACUUUCAUGGAACUCUUGUGGAUUUUUUGAGGCCUUUUUUGCCAGAUUCUUGGUUAAAAGAAAUACUCUAAUUACUUUUUUACACUGAGACAGUUUUGGAUCUUUCCCUUUUUUUUCCAUUUUUUGUCUCGGUCUUAUCGAAGGACUCUCAGCUGCAGGUUUGGGUUUCAGGAGAGCACAGGGAGUGGGGGGGUGUAACACUUUGUGUCUUUUCUUGUUGCACUAUGACCUGUGAGUGUUACUGCCGUCAUUAAAGCUGACCCAUGGCUUCUCCGCACUCAGAUGAUUUUGUAUUUAUUUUUUGUCAAACGCUGCACUCUCAGCUGCUUCUGAAACACCGACCAUGCCCCCCCCCCCACCCAGACGAUACAGAGGACAAACUCUGCGGCUCUGCUGGCUCCAAUCAUUUCACUCACUGACCCACAGAACCAGGAUCUGGGGGUGCUGCCGCAGACACCUCUGCUGACCCUUAGUGGUGUUUCAACUACUACUGUGAACUUUUAUGAUUCUUUCUUUGUAUAAUUCAAUUAUGCUUUUAAUAUAUGGGAAUUCUGUAUGUAUACCUAUAUGAAUAUACACUUACC